rnacentral:lncRNA from 1 species
UGGAUGAGCACUUUCACUCUCCUAUUCCUUCAAUAUAAGUGUAAUCAUAAUUUUUAGUUAAAUUCAUAUUCAGGGUUUUCAUUUUUUUGAUGGCUAUCUACUUUUAAGCCAAUAAAUGUAUACUAUUUACAUUUCCUAUACUGUAUAACUUUUUGUUUUUCCUGAAGUUAAUUAUUACCUAAUUUUUUACUUGCUCCUUUUUUUUUUAAAUCAAGGGCAACAUCUUUCCAUGUGUUCCUAUUGCUAUGUACCAUGGCUUUCAAUACAGUUUUUCAUAUCUUCAAACCCAUCAGAUAACUGAUUCCUCAACUCCAGCCAGAAUGACCUGUUUAUUGCGUUUCUGCCCCCGCUGGCACAGGGUGCAUGUGGUGGCUGCACCUUGGGAGGGACACGAGAUGACCUCCUCCACCUGCCGCUAACAUCAGGACUAGGGUAAGACCCACUUCCUUCAGGAGGAAUUCACAAAUUCACAAAGAUCUGCCCCCUCUUAAGUCACUGUGGUUACCACUGCCUACUGGUUACAUGCAGCCUUCUUCUGGCAUGGGUAUUUUUAUCUACAGAUAUUUUAUUUCCCCUAAAUGAAACAUUUGAAAGCUUGCUCUGGGCCACUUACUUUACAAAUGACGAAUUAUAAUUUAUAAAUGCCUCAAACUGUUUGUUUUCACAACAAACAUGCGAGGCAGGUCCUGUUAUUAACCCCACAUUGAAUUGGAGAGCAGGGACAGAGAGAGGGAAGGCAAGUCACCAGGGGUUAGUAAGCCGUGGGGCAGGCAGAGCUAAUGGUCAUGUAUUUAACCACCAGGCUAUGCCCUGCACACAAUAGUCACUCAAUAAAUAUUUGCUCAUCAGUUAAUUGUUGAUUUUCCCAC